rnacentral:rRNA from 1 species
UACGUAGGGGGCAAGCGUUGUCCGGAUUUAUUGGGCGUAAAGAGCGUGUAGGCGGCCAGACAGGUCUGCUGUGAAAACUCGAGGCUCAACCUCGAGACGCCGGUGGAAACCGUUUGGCUAGAGUCCGGAAGAGGAGAGUGGAAUUCCUGGUGUAGCGGUGAAAUGCGCAGAUAUCAGGAAGAACACCCGUGGCGAAAGCGGCUCUCUGGAACGGUACUGACGCUGAGACGCGAAAGCGUGGGGAGCGAACAGG